rnacentral:tRNA from 1 species
GCGGGUGUAGUUAAAUGGUAUAACCUCAGCCUUUUAAUUGAUGUCGUGGGUUCGAUUCCCAUCACCCGCUCCA